UGGUCGUGUUAUGUUCUGAAUUUGGGACAUGAUAUUUUUAUGAUAUCAUAGCAAUAUAUUUGAUCAUGAGUAGACUUAAAGUCUAGCAAUGGAUAAAUAAGUCUCAUUUAGCUAGAUUAUAUUUAACUAAAUAAGAAUAGACAAGUUUUUCUUAGAAUUUCUGUUACUCAUUUAAAGAAGUUAAUUAAUACUAGUAUUUUUUUAUCUAGGUGACA
rnacentral:lncRNA from 1 species